rnacentral:rRNA from 1 species
GACGAACGCUGGCGGCGUGCUUAACACAUGCAAGUCGAACGCUGAAGCACCAGCUUGCUGGUGUGGAUGAGUGGCGAACGGGUGAGUAAUACGUGAGUAACCUGCCCUUGACUCUGGGAUAAGCCCGGGAAACUGGGUCUAAUACUGGAUGCUACAUGUCACCGCAUGGUGGUGUGUGGAAAGGGUUUACUGGUCUUGGAUGGGCUCACGGCCUAUCAGCUUGUUGGUGAGGUAAUGGCUCACCAAGGCGACGACGGGUAGCCGGCCUGAGAGGGUGACCGGCCACACUGGGACUGAGACACGGCCCAGACUCCUCCGGGAGGCAGCAGUGGGGAAUAUUGCACAAUGGGCGAAAGCCUGAUGCAGCGACGCCGCGUGAGGGAUGACGGCCUUCGGGUCGUAAACCUCUUUCAGCAGGGAAGAAGCCACAAGUGACGGUACCUGCAGAAGAAGCGCCGGCUAACUACGUGCCAGCAGCCGCCGUAA